GACGAACGCUGGCGGCGUGCCUAAUACAUGCAAGUCGAGCGAAUCAAAGGGAGCUUGCUCCCUGAGGUUAGCGGCGGACGGGUGAGUAACACGUGGGCAACCUGCCUAUAAGACUGGGAUAACUUCGGGAAACCGGAGCUAAUACCGGAUAAUUCAUAUCUACUCAUGUAGAUAUGCUGAAAGACGGUUUACGCUGUCACUUAUAGAUGGGCCCGCGGCGCAUUAGCUAGUUGGUGAGGUAACGGCUCACCAAGGCGACGAUGCGUAGCCGACCUGAGAGGGUGAUAGGCCAAACUGGGACUGAGACACGGACCAGACUCCUACGGGAGGCAGCAGUAGGGAAUCUUCCGCAAUGGACGAAAGUCUGACGGAGCAACGCCGCGUGAGUGAUGAAGGUUUUCGGAUCGUAAAACUCUGUUGUUAGGGAAGAACAAGUACUAGAGUAACUGCUAGUACCUUGACGGUACCUAACCAGAAAGCCACGGCUAACUACGUGCCAGCCGCCGCGGUAACAC
rnacentral:rRNA from 1 species